GGGGGAUCUUCCGCAAAUGGGCGAAAGCCUGACGGAGCAAUACCGCGUGAGGGAUGAAGGAUUUUGGUCUGUAAACCUCUUUUUUCAAGAAAGAAGUUCUGACGGUACUUGAGGAAUAAGCAUCGGCUAACUCCGUGCCAGCAGCCGCGGUAAUACGGGGGAUGCAAGCGUUAUCCGGAAUCAUUGGGCGUAAAGCGCCUGUAGGUUGUUUAAUAAGUCUGUUGUUAAAGACCAGGGCUUAACCCUAGGAAAGCAAUGGAAACUGUUAGACUAGAGUAUGGCAGGGGUAGAGGGAAUUUCUAGUGUAGCGGUGAAAUGCGUAGAUAUUAGAAAGAACACCGGUGGCGAAAGCGCUCUACUGGACCAUUACUGACACUCAGAGGCGAAAGCUAGGGUAGCAAAAGGGAUUAGAUACCCCUGUAGUCA
rnacentral:rRNA from 1 species